ACCCUAUCGAUAUUGUCUGCUGU
rnacentral:miRNA from 1 species